AUGCACGACAUUGCUCACAUUGCUUCCAGUAUUUUUAGCCAGCCUUAUGCGCUGGCUUUUUUUU
rnacentral:antisense_RNA from 1 species